GUCCCUGUAGCGCAAUGGAUAGCACGUUGGACUUCUAAUCCAAAGGUCGUGGGUUCAAAUCCCAGCUGAAACU